GACGAACGCUGGCGGCGUGCUUAACACAUGCAAGUCGAACGAAGUGGCGAACGGGUGAGUAACGCGUAAUCAACCUGCCCUUCAGAGGGGGACAACAGUUGGAAACGACUGCUAAUACCGAAUACCUGAAGAGGGGUUUGCGUCUGAUUGGGCAGUUGGGGGGGUAACGGCCCACCAAACCAACGAUCAGUAGCCGGUCUGGGAGGAUGAACGGCAACACUGGAAUGGAGAAACGGUCCAGACUCCUACGGGAGGCAGCAGUGGGGAAUCUUCCGCAAUGGACGAAAGUCUGACGGAGCAACGCCGCGUGAGUGAAGACGGCCUUCGGGUUGUAAAGCUCUGUGAUCCGGGACGCGGUACCGGAAAAGCAAGCCACGGCUAACUACGUGCCAGCCGCCGCGGUAAUAC
rnacentral:rRNA from 1 species